rnacentral:rRNA from 1 species
CCUACGGGUGGCUGCAGUGAGGAAUAUUGGUCAAUGGACGAGAGUCUGAACCAGCCAAGUAGCGUGAAGGAUGACUGCCCUAUGGGUUGUAAACUUCUUUUAUAUGGGAAUAAAACGUUCCACGUGUGGGAUUUUGUAUGUACCAUAUGAAUAAGGAUCGGCUAACUCCGUGCCAGCAGCCGCGGUAAUACGGAGGAUCCGAGCGUUAUCCGGAUUUAUUGGGUUUAAAGGGAGCGUAGGUGGAUUGUUAAGUCAGUUGUGAAAGUUUGCGGCUCAACCGUAAAAUUGCAGUUGAAACUGGCAGUCUUGAGUACAGUAGAGGUGGGCAGAAUUCGUGGUGUAGCGGUGAAAUGCUUAGAGAUCACGAAGAACUCCGAUUGCGAAGGCAGUUCACUGGACUGCAACUGACACUGAGGCUCGAAAGUGUGGGUAUCAAACAGGAUUAGAUACCCCUGUAGUC